ensembl:lncRNA
ACGAGUCCUUGUAAGUGGGAAUCAGACUCAAAUUUGAAGACACUAUGCUGCUGGUUUUGAAGAUGGAGGAAGGGGCCAGGAGCCCGGAAGUUCAGACAGCCUCUAGACAGUUUCCCAGAGCCUCCAGAAAAAAGGCUGCCCUUUAACACUUUGAUUCUCACCUCAUGCGACCGACUUCAGGCUUCUGAUCUACAUAAUGAAACUUGAAGAUCUUUUGGUGACUCUUUGGGAUGGAGCUUGGAGAGAUGGGUAGAGAAGAUUGAAGGGAUUAUGGGAAGUAAGAGACGAUGGAAAGAAGAUUCCAAAAGAGAGUCACUGGACACCCAUCAGAGGAGGACACUGCGUGGAACAGAGAGAAAACAAGAGAAAGGAUCCUUGAAGGAGGGAAGUAGAAGCAGGUGGUCAAUUAAGAAGCUCCUGCAGCCAUCAAGACAACAGUUGCACCGGGCAACUCCGAGCGGAGAGAGAGGUACCAUCACAAAAGCCCUGUUGGCUGAGGAGACUGAGGCACACAGGCAUACAGGAAUCGGCAGAGCUGGGUUUUGAGCCCAGGCAGUGUGGAUGUAUCUUGGGCUUCCAACCUAUAUAGUACACUCCCCGCUGUUGAUGAGGGCUGAGUCAUCCUUUUCACUGAUGCAACCUCUUCAAUGUUCAUGCUGCCUCUGGCUGAGAUGAUUGGAUGGUGUUUGCCAUCAGUGCCUCUAAGACUCCUCACUCUCACUGCAGAGGGCCCAGGUUCGAUCCCUUGUCAGGGAAAUAGAUCCCACAUACAGCCACUGAAGUUCUCACGUCCUGCAACAGAAGAUCCUGUGUGCAGCAACUAAGACCCAGAGCAGCCAAAUAAAUAAAUAUUUUUUAAAAGUAACUCCUUUUAUGUUUAGACAGCUCUGAGAUUCUUCUUUGUUAAAGAAACUGGCCUCCCAAGACUUGAAGAGGCACAAUUUUGUUCUGCAAUCUCCUCUGCGUGACACCUCUCACGUGUGUGAAGAUAGUUCUUGCAGCUUCCUCGGGUCCUCUUUCUGCUUAUCUAGACCAAGCUCCCUGACAGUGCCUUCCUCGGUUCAGGCUCAGAUAUCACUUCUGCAGGAGACACCCUUCAUUCAUGAGGUCAUUCAUUCAUCCAAACUUUAUUAACAACUCAUUGUGUACCAUGUACUUGAUAGAACCUAGAAAUACAGAAAUGAAGGUAUAGUUCCUACCUUCAAGAAAUACAGCAUCCAUCGGGAGAGGGGGACGUUUAAAGAAAUAAUUGUAACAUCACUGGCAAGUGCUGUAACAGGGAUAUGGUGCGACACAAGGGCCACUCAGUCCAACGACUGACUUUUAAACUGGCCAUGCUAGGGCAUUCAUUUUACCAUAAUUAUCUUGCAUGGUGAUCACCGGAACUAAAAAGACUAGAAGAAUUCUAAAAAGAGUACUUCCACCACUCUGAUCUAAAUGUGAUAAUCCUAAGAAUGCAGCCCAGAACUGUAAUUAAUUUAUUUAGCAGAUGACUAACUUAAAAAAAAACUUCUGGCAUUAAUUUCAUGAAAUGCAAUUAGGUCCAUCCUGUGCAAAUGAAAAAAAAAAAAAAAAAACAGAUGGAAGGAUAGAUAGAUAGAGUGACAGUAGACAGAUAUAGGAAGUAUUUUAUAUUUAUUCAUCCUUGGUAAAUACCUUCUCAUUUCAGUCUAGCAAAACACUCAGAUACAGCGCCAGGCCUAAGAAGCAGGGUUGAAUUUCCAAUUCUGCUUCUUCUAGCUGCAGGAACUACCUCUUUAGUCUAUUUAGGGGAUUAAAAGAAAUAAUGAAUGAAAUUAUCUAGCGUAUCUCCAGCCUCAAGCUU